rnacentral:lncRNA from 1 species
GGAAGUAAGGCUGGUGAUGAGCAUGAGGGAAGCAAUUCAUGGGAGGCUGCAGUCAUCUAAAUCAGGCAUGACUGGGGGAACAACCCUUAUAAGUAAAAGAAGCUACAUGAACAACUUUCUUGAAAUAAUGUCAGUGUUAUCUGCUUGUGGCUUGAGCUGCAUGGAAGGAACAAAGAACCUCCAUCAACCUGCUGCUAUUAGCAACACUGGGUGCAGGGCUGCUACCGCACAAGCUUCAUGGUGAUGUGAUGAAGAUCCAAGACGCUGAACACACACAUGCGUAUACAAAAAUUAUGUUACUCUUCAAACUUCUUGGUGAGUUAACGUUCUCUUUCAGCAUCCCUAUUUGGGUCUUGAAAAAUUAUGUGGUUUCACAGAUGUUACUGCAGAGGUAACCACAUUGGCAAGCAAGGAGGAAAUAGUAACAGUACUUUCUUAACAGUACAGAUGUCUUAAUCCUUCUAGUGUUAGGAUUGUGUCUGAUGUUUCAUAGUAAAUGUUUUUACCCAUUUAAAGGUGUAUCUGAAAAGAGUCUCAGAAAGAGCUAGACAUUUUACACUGGCGCAAUUUCUUUUUCUCCCUAUAGCCAAAUGCCACCAUACUGUCUUAUUCAGCUGGGAUGAAAUUGUUAUCUUCAGAGUGUUUGCUAUGAUGCUAUGUUCCGGUUCUAGGAGAAAAACAAUGUUGAUAACACACCAAUGUUUAUAGUUGCUGCUAAGCAGUAUUGUACAGAGCCAAGGUUAUUCACCUCCUAUUCACCAAAAGGCCCAAGGAGAUGGGAGGGAACAGAAUUAGGACAAGUGACUUAAACUGCCAAGUGGAUAUUCCAUACCAGAUGACAGCAUGUGGAAGGAGUUUUGAAGGGGUGAGAGUUCAUCUCUGUCUUCUGCUGCCCAGGAACUAGUUGGACAUUGGUCAGUGGGUAGCAAGCAAUUGCUUGUGCAUCACUUGUUAUAUACAUUCAUAUAUAUAUGAAUAUAUAUAUAUAUAUAUAUAUACAUAUAUAUAUAUAUACGGGUAUAGUCAUAACUAUUAUCCUGUUCAUUUUCUCUUUUUUAUUAAAUAGUUUUAUCUCAAAAUUCAACUUCUUUCUUCUUCCCUGAUUCUCUCCCCCCAUUCCACUGGGAAUGUGGUAAGUGUGCAAAUAACUGUGUAGUCCUGGGCCAUCUGCUGGGUUAAACCACAACACAGAGCAAAAGAUGAGUCUUUAAGCAACUGAAGGACACCAUAUCAUGGAUACUUUA